GGAAGUUGCCGCUGGGGAUACGCCGCAGGUUGAACUCAAAGAAUUGACGGGACCCGCACAAGCGGUGGAUGAUGUGGUUAAUUGAUGCAACGCGAAAAACCUUACCCACCUUUGACAUGUACGGAAGGAUCCAGAGAUGGAUUUGUGCUCGAAAGAGAACCGUAACACAGGUGCUGCAUGGCUGUCGUCAGCUCGUGUCGUGAGAUGUUGGGUUAAGUCCCGCAACGAGCGCAACCCUUGUCAUUAGUUGCUACAUUUAGUUGGGCACUCUAAUGAGACUGCCGGUGACAAACCGGAGGAAGGUGGGGAUGACGUCAAGUCCUCAUGGCCCUUAUAGGUGGGGCUACACACGUCAUACAAUGGCUGGUACAAAGGGUUGCCAACCCGCGAGGGGGAGCUAAUCCCAUAAAACCAGUCGUAGUCCGGAUCGCAGUCUGCAACUCGACUGCGUGAAGUCGGAAUCGCUAGUAAUCGUGGAUCAGAAUGUCACGGUGAAUACGUUCCCGGGCCUUGUACACACCGCCCGUCACACCAUGGGAGCGGGUUCUGCCAGAAGUAGUUAGCCUAACCGCAAGGAGGGCGAUUACCACGGCAGGGUUCGUGACUGGGGUGAAGUCGUAACAAGGU
rnacentral:rRNA from 1 species